rnacentral:snRNA from 1 species
ACCUAGGUGCACGGGCUUUGCGUAUAUCAAUGAGGAUUUAUCUGAGAUUGUGUCUUUGCUGGUUGCAAACUAUUUAGUUGGCUUUUUUGGUUGGUCUUCUGAUUGACUGGAAUCUUUUAAACCUACUGCCUUAACCCCCUGCUUGUCUUGGGAUUCGAGGUGCUCUGCUCUGUAG